GUCGAACGAGCGAGAGAGAGCUUGCUUUCUCAAGCGAGUGGCGAACGGGUGAGUUAUGCGUGAGGAACCUGCCUCAAAGAGGGGGACAACAGUUGGAAACGACUGCUAAUACCGCAUAAGCCCACAGGUCGGCAUCGACCGGAGGGAAGAGGAGCAAUCCGCUUUGAGAUGGCCUCGCGUCCGAUUAGCUAGUUGGUGAGGUAAUGGCCCACCAAGGCGACGAUCGGUAGCCGGACUGAGAGGUUGAACGGCCACAUUGGGACUGAGACACGGCCCAGACUCCUACGGGAGGCAGCAGUGGGGAAUAUUGCACAAUGGGGGAAACCCUGAUGCAGCGACGCCGCGUGGAGGAAGAAGGUCUUCGGAUUGUAAACUCCUGUUGUUGAGGAAGAUAAUGACGGUACUCAACAAGGAAGUGACGGCUAACUACGUGCCAGCAGCCGCGGUAAAACGUAGGUCAUAAGCGUUGUCCGGAAUUACUGGGUGUAAAGGGAGCGCAGGCGGGAAGACAAGUUGGAAGUGAAAUCUAUGGGCUCAACCCAUAAACUGCUUUCAAAACUGUUUUUCUUGAGUAGUGCAGAGGUAGGCGGAAUUCCCGGUGUAGCGGUGGAAUGCGUAGAUAUCGGGAGGAACACCAGUGGCGAAGGCGGCCUACUGGGCACCAACUGACGCUGAGGCUCGAAAGUGUGGGUAGCAAACAGGAUUAGAUACCCUGGUAGUCCACACCGUAAACGAUGAUUACUAGGUGUUGGAGGAUUGACCCCUUCAGUGCCGCAGUUAACACAAUAAGUAAUCCACCUGGGGAGUACGACCGC
rnacentral:rRNA from 1 species